UCCUUCAUGGCUCAGACAGUAGAGAAUCUGCCUGCAGUGCAGGACGUCCAGGUUCAAUCCCUGGGUCAGGAA
rnacentral:tRNA from 1 species